UACGUAGGGGGCCAGCGUUGGUUCGGAAUUACUGGGUGUAAAGGGUUCGUAGGCGGUGUGGCAAGUUGGGAGUGAAAUCUCUGGGCUCAACCCAGAGACGGCUUCCAAAACUGCCGUGCUUGAGUGUGGGAGAGGCUCGUGGAAUUGCAGGUGUAGCGGUGAAAUGCGUAGAUAUCUGCAGGAACACCCGUGGCGAAAGCGGCGAGCUGGACCACUACUGACGCUGAAGAACGAAAGCUAGGGGAGCAAACAGG
rnacentral:rRNA from 1 species